rnacentral:ncRNA from 1 species
AAGCAACUUAGGAUUUUAGGCUUCGCCCCUGCGGCGUCACCGUGCAAACGGCAAAAUCCGGAAAAGAGAA